rnacentral:rRNA from 1 species
CCUACGAGAGGCAGCAGUGAGGAAUAUUGGUCAAUGGUCGGGAGCCUGAACCAGCCAAGUCGCGUGAGGGAGGAAUGUACUGAGUAUUGUAAACCUCUUUUGUCAGGGAACAAAGUCGGGGACGUGUCCCCGGAUGAGUGUACUUGAAGAAAAAGCAUCGGCUAACUCCGUGCCAGCAGCCGCGGUAAUACGGAGGAUUCAAGCGUUAUCCGGAUUUAUUGGGUUUAAAGGGUGCGUAGGCGGGCGGUUAAGUUAGGGGUGAAAUCGCGAGGCUCAACCUCGGAAUUGCCAUUGAUACUGUUCGGCUAGAGUGUAGUUGAGGUAGGCGGAAUGUGUGGUGUAGCGGUGAAAUGCUUAGAGAUCAUGCAGAACACCGAUUGCGAAGGCAGCUUACCAAGCUACUACUGACGUUGAGGCACGAAAGCGUGGGGAGCAAACAGGAUUAGAUACCCCAGUAGUC